rnacentral:rRNA from 1 species
UACGUAGGGUGCAAGCGUUAAUCGGAAUUACUGGGCGUAAAGCGUGCGCAGGCGGUUCUAUAAGACAGAUGUGAAAUUCCUGGGCUCAACCUGGGAACUGCAUUUGUGACUGUAGAGCUGGAGUACGGUAGAGGGGGAUGGAAUUCCGCGUGUAGCAGUGAAAUGCGUAGAUAUGCGGAGGAACACCGAUGGCGAAGGCAAUCCCCUGGACCUGUACUGACGCUCAUGCACGAAAGCGUGGGGAGCAAACAGG